AUAUAGUUUUAUUCUAGCUAUUUUAUUAACUUAAGAUCAAUAAAUUAUAUGGAAAAUAUAAUAUAGUUUUUAUUGAUAUCUAUUUUCCAGUAAUUAAUUUUAAUUUUUAAUGAUUUAAUUAGGUUGAGUUAGUUAUUGAUUAAUAAUAGAUAAAAAUUUGUGCCAGCAUUCGCGGUUAAACAAUUUAUUAAAGUUAAUUAUAUAGAUUUACCAAAUUUUUUUAUAAUAAGAAUUAUUCUUUCUUUAUUUAGGUGGAAUUUAUAUAUUUUAUAUAUUUCUUAAUAUUUUUUGUGAAACUUUUGUAUUAAACUAGGAUUAGAUACCCUAUUAUAUUUAAAUGUAAAAUUUUAGUCUGAAUAGUAUUAGUUAUGAUCUUUAAAGCUCAAAGAAUUUGGCGGUAAAAUAUUUUUUAGAGGAAUCUGUAAAGUAAUUGAUAAACCACGAUAUUUUUUACUUUAUUAUUAUAUUUGUAUACCGCUAUAUUAAUUUCUAAAUGUUUUUAUAAAAUAUUUUUUUUUACAUGAUUGAUUUAUAUUAGGUCAAGGUGCAGUUUUAAUAAAGUUUUUAUGGAUUACUUUAAUUUUAAAUUAUUAGGAUAUUUUUCUUAUUAGAAGAAUUUAAAUAAGGAUUUGACAGUAAAUUUAAUUAAUUAAUUAAUUUGAAUUUUUUUUAUUUUAUGUACAUAUCGCCCGUCACUCCUAAUUUUAAUUUAGGAUAAGUCGUAACAAAGUAACUUCACCGGAAGGUGAAGUUAGAAGAAUUUAAUUAUAUU
rnacentral:ncRNA from 1 species